AAUAGAUACCCAGGUAGUCCACGCCGUAAACGAUGAGUGCUAAGUGUUAGAGGGUUUCCGCCCUUUAGUGCUGCAGCUAACGCAUUAAGCACUCCGCCUGGGGAGUACGGCCGCAAGGCUGAAACUCAAAGGAAUUGACGGGGGCCCGCACAAGCGGUGGAGCAUGUGGUUUAAUUCGAAGCAACGCGAAGAACCUUACCAGGUCUUGACAUCCUCUGCCAACCCUAGAGAUAGGGCGUUCCCCUUCGGGGGACAGAGUGACAGGUGGUGCAUGGUUGUCGUCAGCUCGUGUCGUGAGAUGUUGGGUUAAGUCCCGCAACGAGCGCAACCCUUGAUCUUAGUUGCCAGCAUUCAGUUGGGCACUCUAAGGUGACUGCCGGUGACAAACCGGAGGAAGUGGGGAUGACGUCAAAUCAUCAUGCCCCUUAUGACCUGGGCUACACACGUGCUACAAUGGAUGGUACAAAGAGCUGCGAACCCGCGAGGGUAAGCGAAUCUCAUAAAGCCAUUCUCAGUUCGGAUUGU
rnacentral:rRNA from 1 species